UACGUAGGGGGCGAGCGUUGUCCGGAUUCAUUGGGCGUAAAGAGCUCGUAGGCGGUCUGUCGCGUCUGCUGUGAAAACUCAGGGCUUAACCCUGAGCUUGCAGUGGGUACGGGCAGACUAGAGUGCGGUAGGGGAGACUGGAAUUCCUGGUGUAGCGGUGAAAUGCGCAGAUAUCAGGAGGAACACCGGUGGCGAAGGCGGGUCGCUGGGCCGUAACUGACGCUGAGGAGCGAAAGCAUGGGGAGCGAACAGG
rnacentral:rRNA from 1 species